GCUAACUCGGGCGCAGCAGGCGCGUGAGGAGGUGGGCGGGGGGCGGUGUCGGGAAUUGUUGGGCGUAAAGAGCGCGUAGGCGGCUUGUCGCGUCGGAUGUGAAAGCCCGGGGCUUAACUCCGGGUCUGCAUUCGAUACGGGCAGGCUAGAGUUCGGUAGGGGAGAUCGGAAUUCCUGGUGUAGCGGUGAAAUGCGCAGAUAUCAGGAGGAACACCGGUGGCGAAGGCGGAUCUCUGGGCCGAUACUGACGCUGAGGAGCGAAAGCGUGGGGAGCGAACAGGAUUAGAUACCCUAGUAGUC
rnacentral:rRNA from 1 species